GAUGAAGAACGUAGCGAAAUGCGAUAAGUAAUGCGAAUUGCAGAAUUUCCGUGAGUCAUCGAAUCUUUGAACGCACAUUGCGCCCGGUAGUAUUCUGCCGGGCAUGCCUGUUCGAGCGUCAUUUCAACCAUCAAGCCCCAGCGCUUGUGUUGGGGGCCUGCGGCUGCCGCAGCCCCCUAAAAGCAGUGGCGGGCUCGCUAUCACACCGAGUGCAGUAGUUCAUCUUCUCUCCGGUCUUGUGAGGCGGGUUCCGGCCGUGAAACACCCCACUACAUUCAAGGUUGACCUCGGAUCAGGUAGGAAUACCCGCUGAACUUAAGCAUAUCAAUAAGCGGAGGA
rnacentral:misc_RNA from 1 species